UUGUUAAUAUUCCAGUACCGCCGCAUGAUGCGAUGGGGAGACGGAGAAGGUUAGGUCGAGCCGGGUGUUGGAUGUCCCGGUCUAAGCGUGUAGGCGUGCCCUUUAGGCAAAUCCGGAGGGCUUAGCUGAGGCGUGAUGGGGAGGCCCCUUGUGGGCCGAACUCACCGAUACCAUGCUUCCAGGAAAAUCCUCUAAGCUUCAGUCAUGCGGGACCGUACCGUAAUCGGACACACGUGGGCGGGAUGAAUAUUCUCAGGCGCUUGAGAGAACUCAGGAGAAGGAACUCGGCAAAUUGGUACCGUAACUUCGGGAUAAGGUACGCCUCAAGUAUGUGAAGGCCCUCGCGGCCGGAGCAGAACGAGGUUGCAAUAAAAUGGUGGCUGCGACUGUUUAACAAAAACACAGCACUCUGCAAACACGUCAAGUGGACGUAUAGGGUGUGACGCCUGCCCGGUGCCGGAAGGUUAAGUGAUGGGGUGCAAGCUCUUGAUCGAAGCCCCGGUAAACGGCGGCCGUAACAAUAACGGUCCUAAGGUAGCGAAAUUCCUUGUCGGGUAAGUUCCGACCUGCACGAAUGGCGUAACGAUGGCCACACUGUCUCCUCCUGAGACUCAGCGAAGUUGAAGUGUUUGUGAUGAUGCAAUCUCCCCGCUGCAAGACGGAAAGACCCCGUGCACCUUUACUGCAACUUUGCAUUGGACUUUGAUGAGAUCUGUGUAGGAUAGGUGGGAGACUUUGAAGCGGUGCCGCUAGGUGCCGUGGAGUCAACCUUGAAAUACCACCCUGAUCUCAUUGAGGCUCUAACCUAGACCCGUCAUCCGGGUCGGGGACCGUGCAUGGUGGGCAGUUUGACUGGGGCGGUCUCCUCCCAAAGAGUAACGGAGGAGUGCGACGGUACGCUUAGCGCGGUCGGCUAUCGCGCUGAAAGUGCAAUGGCAUAAGCGUGCUUAACUGCGAGACUGACAAGUCGAGCAGGUGCGAAAGCAGGUCAUAGUGAUCCGGUGGUUCUGUAUGGAAGGGCCAUCGCUCAACGGAUAAAAGGUACGCCGGGGAUAACAGGCUGAUUCCUCCCAAGAGUUCAUAUCGACGGGGGAGUUUGGCACCUCGAUGUCGGCUCAUCACAUCCUGGGGCUGUAGCCGGUCCCAAGGGUAUGGCUGUUCGCCAUUUAAGGUGGUACGUGAGCUGGGUUCAAAACGUCGUGAGACAGUUUGGUCCCUAUCUGCAGUGGGCGUUGGAAGUUUGAGGGGGGCUGCUCCUAGUACGAGAGGACCGGAGUGGACGAACCUCUGGUGUACCGGUUGUCACGCCAGUGGCAUCGCCGGGUAGCUAAGUUCGGAAGAGAUAACCGCUGAAAGCAUCUAAGCGGGAAACUCGCCUCAAGAUAAGACUUCCCGGGGACUUGAUCCCCCUAAAGGUUCGUCGAAGACUACGACGUUGAUAGGUCGGGUGUGGAAGGGCAGUAAUGUCCGUAGCUAACCGAUACUAAUUGACCGUGCGGCUUGAUCCU
rnacentral:rRNA from 1 species